rnacentral:rRNA from 1 species
CAGUAGGCCGCGGUAAAACGAAGGGGGCUAGCGUUGUUCGGAUUUACUGGGCGUAAAGCGCACGUAGGCGGACUUUUAAGUCAGGGGUGAAAUCCCGGGGCUCAACCCCGGAACUGCCUUUGAUACUGGAAGUCUUGAGUAUGGUAGAGGUGAGUGGAAUUCCGAGUGUAGAGGUGAAAUUCGUAGAUAUUCGGAAGAACACCAGUGGCGAAGGCGGCUUACUGGCUCAUACUGGACGCUGAGGUGCGAAAGCGUGGGGAGCAAACAGGAUUAGAUACACCAGUAGUCCCUGUCUCUUAUA